rnacentral:rRNA from 1 species
CGGCGAGUGAAGCGGCAAUAGCUCAAAUUUGAAAGCUGGCCCCUUCGGGGUCCGCGUUGUAAUUUGUAGAGGAUGAUUCGGCGAGGGCUCCCGUCUAAGUCCCUUGGAACAGGGCGUCAUAGAGGGUGAGAAUCCCGUAUGUGAUGGGCUGCCUUAGCCAUGUGAAUCUCCUUCGACGAGUCGAGUUGUUUGGGAAUGCAGCUCUAAAUGGGAGGUAAAUUUCUUCUAAAGCUAAAUACCGGCCAGAGACCGAUAGCGCACAAGUAGAGUGAUCGAAAGAUGAAAAGCACUUUGGAAAGAGAGUUAAAAAGUACGUGAAAUUGUUGAAAGGGAAGCGCUUGCAGCCAGACUUGUCCGCAGUUGCUCAGCCUGUCUCCUGACAGGCGUACUCUUCUGCGGCCAGGCCAGCAUCAGUUCGGGCGGUCGGAUAAAGACCUAGGGAAUGUAGCUCCUCUCGGGGAGUGUUAUAGCCCUGGGUGCAAUGCGGCCAGCCUGGACUGAGGAUCUCGCUUCGGCUAGGAUGCUGGCGUAAUGGCUGUAAGCGGCCCGUCUUGAAACACGGACCAAGGAGUCUAACAUCUAUGCGAGUGUUUGGGUGUCAAACCCAUGCGCGUAAUGAAAGUGAACGGAGGUGGGAACCCUCACGGGUGCACCAUCGACCGAUCCUGAUGUCUUCGGAUGGAUUUGAGUAAGAGCAUAGCUGUUGGGACCCGAAAGAUGGUGAACUAUGCCUGAAUAGGGUGAAGCCAGAGGAAACUCUGGUGGAGGCUCGCAGCGGUUCUGACGUGCAAAUCGAUCGUCAAAUUUGGGUAUAGGGGCGAAAGACUAAUCGAACCAUC